CUCCAUCUAUGCCCUGGUCUAUGAGUCCAGGAAAACCAGCUCCUUUCUGUUUGACAUUUUAAGAUUUCCGCAGUUGGGAGAUUAAAAUCAUUUGGCAUUUCAGUUACAUACGUAGAGCUUUUCUGUCCUUUCCUUCCCUCCUCCUUCCUUCCCUCCUUCUUAGUGCUAUUCUAUCAUUUCUUAUUUUCUUUUUUUGUUUUUUUUGGUACCGGGGAUCGAACUCAGGACCUUGCGCUCGCGAGGCAGGCGGCGGAACCACUGAGCUAAAUCCCCGGCCCCGUGCUAUUCUAUAAUUUCUUUUUUUAUUAUUAUUCUAUAAUUUCUUAAUCGUGCUGUAGGUCCGACGAAACAGGGUCGAGUAUGCGGUUAUUCCGAAGUCCCCCUGCUCUGCCCAGCCACGUGGGCGGUGCUAGAGCGCAAGGAAAAGAAAAGUGAAUCCAGCGCGAUUCUCGAUUCUCGCAGGUGCGCGUUACGGUGUUUCUGACAAGCGUCCACUCAGCGCUGGACAAAUGUGAGAGUGAAUGCCCCCCUCCCAAAGUGGCCAGGACUUUUCUGAGUGCCGGUAAGGUCUGCAGUUAAAGGUGAGAGCAAAGGAAGCACGAGGUGAGCCUGGGAUGUCUGCACCCGCCUGAACACAAGGAGCUGUCCCAGCAGUGAUGGGGACGCGUCCAGAGGGCGCCAAACAGUGUGAAGGAGCUCCCUUUGGCCCACUCGGAAACACUCUGAGCAUCAAAAGGAAAUGGGGGUAAUAACGUUGCAACCCGUUAAGUAAAAAGAUGCUGGCCUGCACCUAUUUAUGAGGAGGCAUUGGGGUGACCUGGACUGACAGACAUUCUACAAAACAGGCCCCCUGUAACCUUCCAAAAUGUCAGGAUCAUGAAAAUCAAAGAAAAGUUUGAAGAACUGUUCCCCACCGGCAGGGGCCACAGGGAUCACUAUAAGCAACACGAGGUCCCCAACUGGAUCCUUCGCUGUGAAAGACAAUAUGGAGACAUCUGUGGCGACCAUUAGGUGUGUCACUGAAAUUCUCAUCAGCUGAAUUUCUUACUCCUUUUUAAAAAUCUGAAGUAUGAGAUAAGAGGCCACGUCUAACCACUUCGCUUGAAAAUUCUGCCUAAAAACUUGGUCACAGAGGAAGAUGCUGCCUGACUUUAUGAAAUAGUCUAGUUCUCCCUGGAAGGAGGUGGAAAGCUACUUUACAGAAAAGCUAUUUCCCUGAGACACGGACCUUCAGUAACUCUCUGACAGUGAGCUUGGUGUGCUCACCUCGUUCUGUGAAGGUGCCUUGAGCAGGGAUCACAAGCUUCCAGGCAGGUGUGAGCUCACUGGCACCCUCCCUGCACUUCAGGGCUCCUCACAUGGAGGCCACCUUUGAUGCUGAUGCCAGCCGCACCCGUGACAUCUCUGUUGUGGACAAGAGAACAGGAAAGGGGAAGAAGACUGCUGUCGCAGAGACAAGGGCCACUUGGACAAGGAAGACAGUGAGCGUGCGGCUGGGGAAGCUGGAAGGCUUGGAGCCAGAGAUGAGGAGUAGAGGAGCAGGCAUCGAGCAGGAAUUGCUUAAGUCAUAUUCAUUCAACACGAAGCCAAUAACGGAAGAUGAGAAACUUCAACGCAAGAGCAGCAAUGAGGAAAAACAGUCAAUUUUCAGAUUUUUACGGAUAAUAUUGUUCUACUACAUGCAACAUAUUGUUCUGACUGUACAAGCGCUAGGACCCAAAUUCCAUCCCCAGUACCAGAAAAACAAAACAAAACAUAUCGUUCUGAAAUACACCUACAUUGUGAAAUGCCACAUCUAGUUAACUAACAUUUGAUUACCUCGUGUGGUUGAUCAUUUGUCAUCUCCUCUCUUGGCAUUCUUCAAGAAUGUAAUAUGAAAUAUUUAAAAAACCAAUAGGAAAUAGGGGGAAUGAAAAGAAUUAAGAUAUGGGCCGGGGAUUUAGCUCAGUGGUUUCGCCGCCUGCUGUGCAAGCGCAAGGACCUGAGUUCAAUCCCCAGUACCAAAAAAAAAAAAAGGAAAAGAAUUAAGACGUGUUAUGUAUAUGUACCAACUCUCCAAGAAUAAAUGCUGCCUACAUGAUACUCACUUAGUACUCACUUGGUACAGUCCUUGCCAGGCGUGCACAAAGCUUUGGAUUUGGAAUCCAGUUCCACAAAAAC
ensembl:lncRNA